GGCCCGAGCAGCAGCGUCAAGUUCGAUGAAACUAGAUAAAGUUAUUCGCGUUUUCCCAAUGAUGAUCCUCAUCCUGGCGAUCAUUAUGAUUGGUGGCACAUUUGCCGAUCUACGUUAUCGUGGCAAUGCCAUCCAUCCAGAUUAUCCCGGUCAGUGUUACUACGAGGAGCUAAAGCAACCGAUACCCAAAAAUCAAUCAUACAAGCCCAUCAAUCGCGAUGGCCACUGUGAAUCGAUUUAUUGUCGUCCGGAUUUUGUACUCGAGAUUGCCUACUGCGGACGACAUAAUUUACGGCCCACAGGAAAUUGUAAAAUCGAUUCCGAUAUGCGUCGCUCGUUUCCCGAUUGUUGUCCCAAAUUGAUAUGCCAGGACCCGGAGAGCAAUUAUAUUUAAAUAUAAAAGGAAAUUAAUGAAUCCUUCAUUGGUUGUGAAUUAGCAACAAAACCGUAUUACUUUACUGUAUUUACUGUGUUCGUACAUUCAAAACUUUUGGUACCCUGAAAUCCCGUUAAGGAGUACCUACGUAAACAUAUUAAAAUACAAAUAUAUUUCUUAUCUACCACAUUGGAUCGAGUGAAUAAACUUCUGUAACCGA